rnacentral:rRNA from 1 species
AUGAACGCUGGCGACGUGGAUAAGGCACGCAAGUCAAACGGUCUCAUGUAGCAAUAUGUGAGAUAGUGGCAAACGAGGUAGUAACACGUAGGUACUUCCCCCAAAGUCUAGAAUAAUCCGGAGAAAUCCGGACUAAUACUAGAUAGUCUCUUCGGAGUAAAGAUUUAUCGCUUUGGGAAAGGCCUGCGGGAUAUCAGCUAGUUGGUAGGGUAAAAGCCUACCAAGGCUAUGACGUCUAGGGGAGGUGAGAGCCUGACCCCCACCGAUGGAACUGAGAUACGGUCCAUACACCUACGGGUGGCCGCAGUCGAGAAUCUUCCGCAAUGGGCGCAAGCCUGACGGAGCGACGUCGCGUGGUUGAUGAAGUCCUUAGGGACGUAAAAACCUUUUAUGAGGGAGAAAGUUAUUGAUAGUACCUCAUGAAUAAGGGGUUGCUAAACUCGUGCCAGCAGCAGCGGUAAUACGAGUGCCCCAAGCGUUAUCCGGAAUUAUUGGGCGUAAAGGGUGUGUAGGUGGUUUUGUUAGUCUCCUGUUAAAUUCCCGGGCUCAACCUGGGGCAUGCAGGGGAAACGGCAAAACUAGAGGAUGCGAGGGGUGAAUGGAACUCAUGGUGUAGGGGUGAAAUCCGUUGAUAUCAUGGGGAACACCAAAAGCGAAGGCAAUUCACUGGCGCAUUCCUGACACUGAAACACGAAAGCGUGGGUAGCGAAUGGGAUUAGAUACCCCAGUAGUCCACGCCCUAAACGAUGUUCAUUAGGUUUUCGGAGUAUCGACCCUCUGAGAGCCGUAGCUAACGCGUUAAAUGAACCGCCUGGGUAGUACGACCGCAAGGUUAAAACUCAAAGGAAUAGACGGGGACUCGCACAAGCGGAGGAUUAUGUGGUUUAAUUCGAUGGUAAACGAAGAACCUUACCAGGGUUUGAAACCUAGCUGAAUACUAGAGGAAACUUUAGUAGCCGCAAGGCAGUUAGGCAGGUGAUGCAUGGCCGUCGUCAGUUCGUGGUUUGAAUUGUUCCCUUAAGUGGGGUAACGAACGCAACCCUCGUUGCCUGUUACAAGUGUCAGGCGAGACUGCCCAGAUCUAAGUACGUUUUUUUGAAAAGCAGAAAAAUGUGUUUGGAUCUGGGAGGAAGGCGGGGAUGACGCCAGGUCAGCAUGUCCCUUUGAUAUCCUGGGCUACACACAUAAUACAAUGGGUAAUACAAUGAGACGCAAUAUCGCAAGAUGGAGCCAACCUUCAAAAUUAUCCUAAGUUCGGAUUGGGGUCUGCAACUCGACCCCAUGAAGCUGGAUUCGCUAGUAAUCACAGGUCAGCUAUACUGUGGUGAAUACGUUCUCGAGUCUUGUACUCACCGCCCGUCCCGUCAAGGG